rnacentral:rRNA from 1 species
GACGAGCCACACAAACGUUAUUCGGAAUUACUGGGCUUAAAGGGUGCGUAGGCGGCGCGGAAAGUUGGGUGUGAAAGCCCUCGGCUCAACCGAGGAAUUGCGCCCAAAACUACCGUGCUUGAGGAAGACAGAGGUGAGCGGAACUCAGGGUGGAGCGGUGAAAUGCGUUGAUAUCCUGAGGAGCACCGGUGGCGAAAGCGGCUCACUGGGUCUUUUCUGACGCUGAGGCACGAAAGCUAGGGUAGCGAACGGG